CCUACGGGAGGCAGCAGUGAGGAAUAUUGGUCAAUGGCCGGAAGGCUGAACCAGCCAUGCCGCGUGAAGGUCAGUGCCCUAUGGGCGUUAAACUUCUUUUGUGCGGGAGCAAUAAUGGUCACGUGUGGCCCGACGAGAGUACCGUACGAAUAAGCAUCGGCUAACUCCGUGCCAGCAGCCGCGGUAAUACGGGGGAUGCAAGCGUUAUCCGGAUUUAUUGGGUUUAAAGGGUGCGUAGGCUGGGAGGUAAGUCAGAGGUGAAAUGCCCCGGCGCAACGGGGUGAAGUGCCAUUGAUACUGCCUUGCUGGAGUGCGUGUGAGGUGGGAGGAAUGUGUGGUGUAGCGGUGAAAUGCAUAGAUAUCACACAGAACACCGAUUGCGAAGGCAGCUCACGAGUCCGCGAUUGACGCUGAUGCACGAAAGCGUGGGUAUCAAACAGGAUUAGAUACCCGUGUAGUC
rnacentral:rRNA from 1 species